rnacentral:rRNA from 1 species
CCUACGGGAGGCAGCAGUGAGGAAUAUUGGUCAAUGGACGAGAGUCUGAACCAGCCAAGUAGCGUGAAGGAUGACUGCCCUAUGGGUUGUAAACUUCUUUUAUAUGGGAAUAAAAUGUUCCACGUGUGGGAUUUUGUAUGUACCAUAUGAAUAAGGAUCGGCUAACUCCGUUCCAGCAACCGAGGUAAUACGGAGGAUCCGAUCGUUAUCCGGAUUUAUUGGGUUUAAAGGGAGCGUAGGUGGAUUGUUAAGUCAGUUGUGAAAGUUUGCGUCUGAAACGUAAAAUUGAAGUUGCAACUGGGAGUCUGGAGUACAGUAGAGGUGGGCGGAAUUCGUGGUGUAGCGGUGAAAUGCUUAGAUAUCACGAAGAACUCCGAUUGCGAAGGCAGCUCACUGGACUGCAACUGACACUGAGGCUCGAAAGUGUGGGUAUCAAACAGGAUUAGAUACCCUGGUAGUC